AAACUGCGAUACGUAGUGUGAAUUGCAGAAUUCAGUGAAUCAUCGAAUCUUUGAACGCAAAUUGCGCUACUGGGCAUUCCCGGUAGCAUACUUGGCUGAGUAUCAUCUGGAUAAAUCACAAAUUUUUUUUUUUUUGUGGAUAUGAGGCUUGUCACAUUGAGAAUUUUUUUUUAAAUAAAUAAAAUUCUUAAUGGGUCCCUUUAAAUUCAGUACGGUGGGAAAGGGUACUUAGCUGUCCUUUUGUACCAACUAGUGUGUUAAUUGUCCCAAUUCAUUUCGGGCAUUUUUUUAUACGCUAUGUUGAGAACAGGGACAUAUUAAAGGUUAAGUGCUUUUCUGGCCAUUACAUUGAAAUCCAAAUCUCUUUUUUUUGAAAUUUUGAUCUCAGCUCAAGUAAGACUACCCGCUGAAUUUAAGC
rnacentral:misc_RNA from 1 species